UGACUGUUGAUCCAUUGCCACUACUUAAGGACCUACCAUAUUUGUCGUCCCUCUUUAUUAAUCGUAGUGCAUACAAUGGUGAAGUUUUGCAGUUCCCAAACGGGAUUUCAGAACCUAAAGCAAAUACUACUGGGAAGCCUUUUUAUUUUGGAAUCCAUCGUUAUUGAAGAUGGAGCAUUGCCUUCUCUCGAAAAGUUCAAGUUAGUCGGAAUUACCGAACUGAAGGAGGUGCCUUCUGGUCUCUACAAGUUAUCAAAGCUUGAGGUUUUCCAUGCUAUCAAUAUGUCAGAUGAAUUUCAAGAAAACUUUAAUCUCAACAGAGGACAAGGUCAAUGGAUAAUAGAAUGACGGUGGAAAUGAAAAAGGCCCUGGGAUUUAAGUUUCACGUACUUCUAAUUCUCCAUGUGGACUGUGACAACAACAACGUUGAUUCAUCAUUAAAACUGCCUUGGAAUUCAACAUUGCUCCUUCAAGUCCCCAAAUAAACAGAAUAUGCAUGUGAACCUAUCUUAGUUUCUUUAGCAAAGUGAUGUAAAACUUCUGAAAAAAGCGGAUUGAUUUACCACAUUUCGCUUUUUUAUUAGUUCCUUCUUAGAUGUAUUGCACUAUGUUACGAGAAUUUCUCUUUCAAGGAUUGUAAGACCUUGUUCAUUGUAAUCUUUUUAUCUGUUUCGGAAUAAGGAGAAAAACUAAUUCUGUAUACCUUUGCUUUUUA